rnacentral:piRNA from 1 species
UCAUGCUCUUUCAAAAAUAUG